rnacentral:rRNA from 1 species
ACUCAAAUGAAUAGACGGGGGCCCGCACAAGCGGUGGAGCAUGGGGUUUAAUUCGUCACUAACCGAAGAACCUUACCCAGGCUUGACAUCCCCGGACCGCCGGUGAAAGCCGGUUUUCCCCGCAAGGGGACCGGGAGACAGGUGUUGCAUGGCUGUCGUCAGCUCGUGUCGUGAGAUGUUGGGUUAAGUCCCGCAACGAGCGCAACCCUCACUGUAUGUUGCUAGCGGAAACGCGCACUCAUACGGAACUGCCGGGGCAACUCGGAGGAAGGCGGGGAUGACGUCAAGUCGGCAUGGCCCUUACGCCUGGGGCUACACCCAUGCUACAAUGGGGCGGACAGAGGGCUGCAAACCCGCGAGGGGGAGCCAAUCCCAAAAACCGUCUCUCAGUUGGAAUUGGAGUCUGCAACUCGACUCCAUGAACGCGGAAUCGCUAGUAAACGCCGGUCAGCUAAACGGCGUUGAAUCCGUUCCCGGGCCUUGCACACACCGCCCGU